rnacentral:tRNA from 1 species
GUGGUUGUAGCUCAGUGGCAAAGCACUUGCCUAGUAUACGUGAGGCACUGGGUUCGAUUCUCAGCACCACA